CUGGCUCAGAACGAACGCUGGCGGCAGGCUUAACACAUGCAAGUCGAACGGUUGCAGCAAUGCAGCAGUGGCAGACGGGUGAGUAACACGUGGGAACCUUCCUAGGGGUACGGAACAACUCAGGGAAACUUGAGCUAAUACCGUAUACGUCCGUGAGGAGAAAGAUUUAUCGCCCUUAGACGGGCCCGCGUCGGAUUAGCUAGUUGGUGGGGUAACGGCCUACCAAGGCGACGAUCCGUAGCUGAUCUUAGAGGAUGAUCAGCCACACUGGGACUGAGACACGGCCCAGACUCCUACGGGAGGCAGCAGUGGGGAAUCUUGGACAAUGGGCGCAAGCCUGAUCCCAGCCAUGCCGCGUGAGUGAAGAAGGUCUUCGGAUUGUAAAGCUCUUUUGCCAGGGACGAUAAUGACGGUACCUGGAGAAUAAGCCCCGGCAAACUUCGUGCCAGCCGCCGC
rnacentral:rRNA from 1 species